CACCACAGAAGGUAAUAGUCCUGUAUGUUAAACGAGAAGACUUUAGAUAUGAUCCAGAGUACCACGGGACACGUGAAACCCUGUGGGAAGCAGGAGGGACCACCCUCCAAGGCUAAAUACUACCUAGUGACCGAUAGCGUAUAGUACCGUGAGGGAAAGGUGAAAAGAACCCCGGGAGGGGAGUGAAAUAGAACCUGAAACCCUGCACUUACAAGCUGUGGAAGCACAUUUCUUGUGUGACCGCGUACUUUUUGUAGAACGGGCCAACGAGUUACGUUAAGUAGCAAGGUUAAGCACUUAAGGUGCGGAGCCGUAGCGAAAGCGAGUUUUAACUGAGCGUUCAGUUACUGGACGUAGACCCGAAACCGGGCGACCUACCCAUGAGCAGGAUGAAGCGAAAGUAAAAUUUCGUGGAGGUCCGAACCCACGAGCGUUGAAAAGCUCGGGGAUGACUUGUGGGUAGCGGUGAAAUUCCAAUCGAGCCCGGAGAUAGCUGGUUCU
rnacentral:rRNA from 1 species